rnacentral:rRNA from 1 species
CAGCCGCCACGGGAAUACGUAGGGGGCAAGCGUUAUCCGGAUUUACUGGGUGUAAAGGGAGCGCAGACGGCUCUGCAAGUCUGAAGUGAAAGCCCGCGGCUUAACCGCGGGACUGCUUUGGAAACUGCAAGGCUUGAGUAUCGGAGGGGCAGGCGGAAUUCCUAGUGUAGCGGUGAAAUGCCUAGAUAUUAGGAAGAACACCGGUGGCGAAGGCGGCCUGCUGGACGAAAACUGACGUUGAGGCUCGAAGACGUGGGGAGCAAACAGGAUUAGAUACCCCAGUAGUCCCUGUCUCUUAUAC